rnacentral:lncRNA from 1 species
CCCAUUGACAAAUUUUUAAUCUUUUUAGGGUUCUAAUAAAAAUCUUGACAAAAAGCCACAAAAUUUAAUAUGAUCCAAGUCCUUUUCUUGAUAAUUUGGGCAUUUUGUGAGGAUUUUUUAAAACAAAACAAGACCCAGAAGCUGAAAUUAACUAAAACAAUACACCCAUUGACAAAUUUUCAAUCUUUUUAGGGUUCUUAUAAAAACUUUGACCCACAAACAAAGGGUUCUAAUAAAAAUCUUGACAAAAAGCCACAAAAUUUAAUAUGACCCAAGUCCCUUUCUUGAUAAAUAAACCAUUUGUUGAUUUUCUUUUUUCUUGAAAAACCACAUAAAUCACAUAAACCCAGAUCCUAUAACCAACAAACAACAAACCCAUCAACAAAUUUUGCAUCUUUCUAGGGUUUAACCCACAAUCUUGAUCAAAAAACUCUUAAAAAUUUCAAGAAAGUAGAAUGUGCACUUACAAAGAGUGGAGACUUCCCCCCUGACAACAAGAUCUUGCAACUGCUUUUUGUAUCAAAAAUCUUGCCCCAAAUGUGAAGUGUUUGUGUGUGUGUGUUAGAGAGAGAUUAAAUAUUUGUGACAAUUGAAUAAUGGAGAUGAUGAGAAAAUGGACGGUGGAGAUUGACAGAUGGGGUUCGGUUGAUGUGUAUACAUCCUGGUUAAACGUAUUGGAAGGAUGGAAGCUUUGA